rnacentral:rRNA from 1 species
AACGAACGCUGGCGACAUGCCUAACACAUGCAAGUCGAACGAGCCCUUCGGGUCUAGUGGCGCACGGGUGCGUAACGCGUGGGAACAUGCCCUUAGGUUCGGAAUAACUCCCCGAAAGGGGUGCUAAUACCGGAUAAUGUCUUCGGACCAAAGAUUUAUCGCCUUUGGAUGGGCCCGCGUUGGAUUAGCUAGUUGGUAGGGUAAAAGCCUACCAAGGCGACGAUCCAUAGCUGGUCUGAGAGGAUGAUCAGCCACACUGGGACUGAGACACGGCCCAGACUCCUACGGGAGGCAGCAGUGGGGAAUAUUGGACAAUGGGCGAAAGCCUGAUCCAGCAAUGCCGCGUGAGUGAUGAAGGCCUGAGGGUUGUAAAGCUCUUGUACCCGGGAUGAUAAUGACAGUACCGGGAGAAUAAGCUCCGGCUAACUCCGUG